UACGAAGGGGGCUAGCGUUGCUCGGAAUCACUGGGCGUAAAGCGCACGUAGGCGGAUUGCUAAGUCAGGGGUGAAAUCCUGGAGCUCAACUCCAGAACUGCCUUUGAUACUGGCGACCUUGAGUCCGGGAGAGGUGAGUGGAACUGCGAGUGUAGAGGUGAAAUUCGUAGAUAUUCGGAAGAACACCAGUUGGCGAAGGCGACUUACUGGACACAGUAUUGACGCUGAGGUGCGAAAGCGUGGGGAGCAAACAGGG
rnacentral:rRNA from 1 species